rnacentral:rRNA from 1 species
CCUACGGGUGGCAACAGUGGGGAAUAUUGCACAAUGGGGGAAACCCUGAUGCAGCGACGCCGCGUGAGUGAAGAAGUACUUCGUUAUGUAAAGCUCUAUCAGCAGGGAAGAAAAUGACGGUACCUGAGUAAGAAGCCACGGCUAACUACGUGCCAGCAGCCGCGGUAAUACGGAGGGGGCAAGCGUUAUCCGGAUUGACUGGGUGUAAAGGGAGCGUAGAAGGCAGGGCAAGUCUGGAGUGAAAGGCGGGGGCUAAACCCGGGAACUGCUCUGGAAACUGGCAGGCUGGAGUGCAGGAGAGGGAGGUGGAAUUCGAGGUGUAGCGGUGAAAUGCGUAGAGAUCAGGAGGAACACCGGUGGCGAAGGCGGCUCCCGGGACAAAAACUGACGUUGAGGGGCGAAAGCGUGGGGAGCAAACAGGAUUAGAUACCCUUGUAGUC